UCAAUAGUACAAAGCAGGGUGCAAAAAUAAAAACGUACAGAGAUUCAGCAUAACUCUACAACUGUUGAAUGGGAAGAUGAGUGGCCUUGCUAGGUUCUGCAAGCAAGAGAGCUAGAAGCCUAUUCUUUAUAUAUGGUGAUUAACAGAUUUAUUCUGCUGUCCACGGUCAAGGCUGGCCAUUGUCAAGCUGCUUGGAGUAAUAACCACAAAGUGCUAGGAGAUUAUUGAAGAACUGCUAAAUCUAAAUAGAUAAAUCCUGGAACAUCACAAGGCGAACUCUCUGACGAAUUCUUCAGAUAUUUGUGGAACAGCAAGAAGCCACUAAAAGGAAGAUCCGUCAAAGAACUCUUGGACUCCACGGAGGAGAGAGAAAUAUUGGAGACCAUCUUCAACCAUCUGCGUCCUCUCCAGAUUCCUGCAGACAUCAAAUGGUCCAGAGGUCAAAGAAGUGUAUUGCCGUCCAUCAACAAGUCUGCAAUACAACCAAGCACUAUUCAGGUCUUGGCUAAA